CCGAGUUGCAAAACUCCCAAACCCCAAUGUUUAUCUAUCUCGAAAACGUCUGCUUCGGCGGGCGGCCCCAGGGCGGGCCGCAGCAGCCUAGCGCUUCGGCGCCGGGCGCCCGCCGGAGGAGGACAACCAAAACUCUUGUUUUCUAUGAAACUCUGAGCAUAAAAGACAAAUAGUCA
rnacentral:misc_RNA from 1 species